AUGGGAGCUUGCUCCCUGAUGUUAGCGGCGGACGGGUGAGUAACACGUGGGUAACCUGCCUGUAAGACUGGGAUAACUCCGGGAAACCGGGGCUAAUACCGGAUGGUUGUCUGAACCGCAUGGUUCAGACAUAAAAGGUGGCUUCGGCUACCACUUACAGAUGGACCCGCGGCGCAUUAGCUAGUUGGUGAGGUAACGGCUCACCAAGGCGACGAUGCGUAGCCGACCUGAGAGGGUGAUCGGCCACACUGGGACUGAGACACGGCCCAGACUCCUACGGGAGGCAGCAGUAGGGAAUCUUCCGCAAUGGACGAAAGUCUGACGGAGCAACGCCGCGUGAGUGAUGAAGGUUUUCGGAUCGUAAAGCUCUGUUGUUAGGGAAGAACAAGUGCCGUUCAAAUAGGGCGGCACCUUGACGGUACCUAACCAGAAAGCCACGGCUAACUACGUGCCAGCAGCCGCGGUAAUACGUAGGUGGCAAGCGUUGUCCGGAAUUAUUGGGCGUAAAGGGCUCGCAGGCGGUUUCUUAAGUCUGAUGUGAAAGCCCCCGGCUCAACCGGGGAGGGUCAUUGGAAACUGGGGAACUUGAGUGCAGAAGAGGAGAGUGGAAUUCCACGUGUAGCGGUGAAAUGCGUAGAGAUGUGGAGGAACACCAGUGGCGAAGGCGACUCUCUGGUCUGUAACUGACGCUGAGGAGCGAAAGCGUGGGGAGCGAACAGGAUUAGAUACCCUGGUAGUCCACGCCGUAAACGAUGAGUGCUAAGUGUUAGGGGGUUUCCGCCCCUUAGUGCUGCAGCUAACGCAUUAAGCACUCCGCCUGGGGAGUACGGUCGCAAG
rnacentral:rRNA from 1 species